GCCAAAGCUAAGUACCCUUCCCUCGCUUUCUCUCUCUGCCCCCUCCUACUCCUCAAAGCAAGUCCAAAAAUUUUCCUCCACUUUCCCACUGACCAAACAAGGAGGAAAGAAUCCGACCAAAAAGGCGAAAAUAAAAUGAAGGGAGGAACAGUGCAGAUCAAUUGGCAUGGCACAAAACCUGUCCUAAGCCUAGAUUUUCAUCCAAUUUCCGGUCUCCUGGCCACCGGCGGUGCCGACUUCGACAUCAAGCUUUGGUUAAUAAAUUCAGGUGAAGCCCAGAAGAAAAUCCCAAUGGCUUCCUAUCAAAAUAGUCUUUCCCACCAUUGUUCUUCUGUGAAUGCUCUUCGUUUCUCUCUCUCUGGAGAUCUACUUGCCUCUGGUGCCGAUGGGGGGGAGUUGAUUGUAUGGAAGUUACACUCUACAGAAGCUGGUAAAACGUGGAAAGUUCUCAAGAAUUUAUCAUUUCAUCGCAAGGAUGUUCUGGAUCUGCAAUGGUCUCCUGAUUGUGCAUUUUUGAUGUCCGGAUCAGUUGAUAAUUCUUGCAUCAUAUGGGAUGUUAACAAAGGUUCUGUGCAUCAGCUAUUGGAUAAUCAUUUCCAUUAUGUUCAAGGUGUGGCUUGGGAUCCAUUGAACAAGUACGUUGCUUCUCUUAGUUCAGAUAGAACUUGCCGAGUUUAUAUCAAUAAGCCUCAAACAAAAACAAAAGGCUUUGAGAAGAUAAAUUAUGUUUGCCAACAUGUCAUUACAAAGACAGAGCACCAAUUGGCAGAUGAUUCUAAGUCUUCAAAAAACCAUCUUUUUCAUGAUGAAACGUUGCCAUCUUUCUUCCGAAGAUUAGCAUGGUCACCUGAUGGAUCAUUUUUACUUGUUCCAGCAGGUUCUUAUAAGAUGUCACCUGCAUCAGACAUGGUAAAUACUGCUUAUGCAUUUUCCAGAAAGGAUUUUUCAAGGCCUGCUUUAAUGCUCCCUGGUGCCAGUAAACCUGUAGUAGCUGUUCGCUUCUGCCCCAUGGUUUUUAGCCCUAGGGGAUUGCACUCAGCUGGAUUCUUCAAGCUUCCUUAUCGCCUAAUUUUUGCAGUGGCAACUUUAAACUCGUUGUACAUCUAUGACACAGAGAGUGCGCCUCCAAUAGCAAUCUUGGCUGGUCUUCACUAUGCAGCCAUAACUGACGUUGCCUGGUCAUCGAAUGCCCAGUAUUUGGCUGUGUCUUCUCAAGAUGGUUACUGUACU
rnacentral:misc_RNA from 1 species